UACGGAGGGUGCGAGCGUUGUCCGGAAUCAUUGGGCGUAAAGGGCGCGUAGGUGGCGCGGCAAGCGUGCGGUGAAAGCUCGGGGCUCAACCCCGAGUCGGCCGUGCGAACUGCUGGGCUUGAGCACUGUAGAGGCAGGCGGAAUUCCGGGGUGUAGCGGUGGAAUGCGUAGAGAUCCGGAAGAACACCGGUGGCGAAGGCGGCCGCUGGGCAGUAGCUGACACUGAGGCGCGAC
rnacentral:rRNA from 1 species